AGUGAACGCUGGCGGUAGGCCUAACACAUGCAAGUCGAACGGCAGCACAGUAAGAGCUUGCUCUUACGGGUGGCGAGUGGCGGACGGGUGAGGAAUACAUCGGAAUCUACUUUUUCGUGGGGGAUAACGUAGGGAAACUUACGCUAAUACCGCAUACGACCUACGGGUGAAAGCAGGGGAUCUUCGGACCUUGCGCGAUUGAAUGGGCCGAUGUCGGAUUAGCUAGUUGGCGGGGUAAAGGCCCACCAAGGCGACGAUCCGUAGCUGGUCUGAGAGGAUGAUCAGCCACACUGGAACUGAGACACGGUCCAGACUCCUACGGGAGGCAGCAGUGGGGAAUAUUGGACAAUGGGCGCAAGCCUGAUCCAGCCAUACCGCGUGGGUGAAGAAGGCCUUCGGAUUGUAAAGCCCUUUUGUUGGGAAAGAAAAGCAGCAGGUUAAUACCCCGCUGUUCUGACGGUACCCAAAGAAUAAGCACCGGCUAACUUCGUG
rnacentral:rRNA from 1 species